rnacentral:rRNA from 1 species
GAUGAACGCUGACAGAAUGCUUAACACAUGCAAGUCAACUUGAAUUUGGGUUUUUAACUUAGGUUUGGGUGGCGGACGGGUGAGUAACGCGUAAAGAACUUGCCUCACAGCUAGGGACAACAUUUGGAAACGAAUGCUAAUACCUAAUAUUAUGAUAAUAGGGCAUCCUAUAAUUAUGAAAGCUAUAAGCGCUGUGAGAGAGCUUUGCGUCCCAUUAGCUAGUUGGAGGGGUAACGGCUCACCAAGGCGAUGAUGGGUAGCCGGCCUGAGAGGGUGAUCGGCCACAAGGGGACUGAGACACGGCCCUUACUCCUACGGGAGGCAGCAGUGGGGAAUAUUGGACAAUGGACCAAGAGUCUGAUCCAGCAAUUCUGUGUGCACGAUGAAGUUUUUCGGAAUGUAAAGUGCUUUCAGUUGGGAAGAAAGAAAUGACGGUACCAACAGAAGAAGUGACGGCUAAAUACGUGCCAGCAGCCGCGGUAAUACGUAUGUCACGAGCGUUAUCCGGAUUUAUUGGGCGUAAAGCGCGUCUAGGUGGUUAUGUAAGUCUGAUGUGAAAAUGCAGGGCUCAACUCUGUAUUGCGUUGGAAACUGUAUAACUAGAGUACUGGAGAGGUAAGCGGAACUACAAGUGUAGAGGUGAAAUUCGUAGAUAUUUGUAGGAAUGCCGAUGGGGAAGCCAGCUUACUGGACAGAUACUGACGCUGAAGCGCGAAAGCGUGGGUAGCAAACAGG